rnacentral:rRNA from 1 species
AGCGAACGCUGGCGGCAGGCCUAAUACAUGCAAGUCGAACGCACCUUCGGGUGAGUGGCGGACGGGUGAGUAACGCGUGGGAACGUGCCCUUUGGUACGGAACAACUGAGGGAAACUUCAGCUAAUACCGUAUGUGCCCUUCGGGGAAAAGAUUUAUCGCCAUUGGAGCGGCCCGCGUUGGAUCAGCUAGUUGGUGGGGUAAAGGCCCACCAAGGCUACGAUCCAUAGCUGGUCUGAGAGGAUGAUCAGCCACACUGGGACUGAGACACGGCCCAGACUCCUACGGGAGGCAGCAGUAGGGAAUCUUGCGCAAUGGGCGAAAGCCUGACGCAGCCAUGCCGCGUGAAUGAUGAAGGUCUUAGGAUUGUAAAAUUCUUUCACCGGGGAAGAUAAUGACGGUACCCGGAGAAGAAGCCCCGGCUAACUUCGUGCCAGCAGCCGCGGUAAGAC